AAAGAUGAUAUUGGUUGUGAUGACCAAGAGAUUCAUUUUAAGACACAUCAAUCUUCAUUAUCUUCAAAUAAAAAGGAUAAACAUGAUGGAUUUCCAUUAUCUCAAGCAAAAACAAAGAGUUCAAAAUAUUGGUGGUAAGAACUGUCAAAAACUUGUGAUAGCUAUGAUGAAGAGUUUGUGCAUCGACUUCUCACGAAUCAUACUCAGAGUCGAUUGUCGAUGCAAUAAUUACUAAUCGUUAAAGCGGCCAACUUUUGCUCGUCUUAAAGUGUCUUAAAUCCAACAGAUAUCAUCGUUACAAUAUUACUUUGUUUGUAAAUAUUUUAAAAAAUAAUUUUAAAAUAAAUUUUUUA